rnacentral:rRNA from 1 species
GACGAACGCUGGCGGCGUGCCUAAUACAUGCAAGUCGAGCGGACAGAUGGGAGCUUGCUCCCUGAAGUCAGCGGCGGACGGGUGAGUAACACGUGGGCAACCUGCCUGUAAGACUGGGAUAACUUCGGGAAACCGGAGCUAAUACCGGAUAACACCGAGGACCUCAUGGUCCUUGGUUGAAAGAUGGCUUCGGCUAUCACUUACAGAUGGGCCCGCGGCGCAUUAGCUAGUUGGUGAGGUAACGGCUCACCAAGGCGACGAUGCGUAGCCGACCUGAGAGGGUGAUCGGCCACACUGGGACUGAGACACGGCCCAGACUCCUACGGGAGGCAGCAGUAGGGAAUCUUCCGCAAUGGACGAAAGUCUGACGGAGCAACGCCGCGUGAGCGAUGAAGGCCUUCGGGUCGUAAAGCUCUGUUGUUAGGGAAGAACAAGUACCGUUCGAAUAGGGCGGUACCUUGACGGUACCUAACCAGAAAGCCACGGCUAACUACGUGCCAGCAGCCGCAGUAACAC